rnacentral:rRNA from 1 species
GACGAACGCUGGCGGCGUGCUUAACACAUGCAAGUCGAACAGUGGCGAACGGGUGAGUAACACGUGAGUAACCUGCCCUCCACUUUGGGAUAACUCCGAGAAAUCGGGGCUAAUACUGGAUAGUGGGGGAUGGGCUCGAGGCCGUUCAGUUUGUUGGUGAGGUAGUGGUCACCAAGGCGUGACGGGUAGCCGGCCUGAGUGGGCGACCGGCCACAAUGGUACUGAGACACGGCCACAACUCAUACGGGAGGCAGCAGUGGGAAAUAUUGCACAAUGGGCGAAAGCCUGAUGCGGGGACGCCGCGUGGGGGAUGACGGCCUUCGAGUUGUAAACCUCUUUCAGCAAGGAAGCGGUACUUGCAGAAGAAGCGCCGGCUAACUACGUGCCAGCAGCCGCGGUAAUUC